UCAGGAGUGAACGCUAGCGGCAGGCUAACACAUGCAAGUCGAGGGGCAACGCGAGUAGCAAUACUUGGCGGCGACCGGCGCAAGGGUGCGUAACGCGUGAGCAACAUGCCCGUAUCAGGGGGAUAAUCCAGGGAAACUUGGUCUAAUACCCCAUAGUAAUUUUGUAAGGCAUCUUAUAAGAUUUAAAGCUUCGGUGGAUACGGAUUGGCUCGCGUGACAUUAGCUGGAUGGUAAGGUAACGGCUUACCAUGGCUAUGAUGUCUAGGGGUUCUGAGAGGAAGGUCCCCCACACUGGAACUGAGACACGGUCCAGACUCCUACGGGAGGCAGCAGUGAGGAAUAUUGGACAAUGGAUGGAAAUCUGAUCCAGCCAUGCCGCGUGAAAAGGAAGAAGGUCCUAUGGAUUGUAAACUUCUUUUGUAUGGGAGCAAUAAGGCCUACGAGUAGGUUGAUGAGAGUACCAUACGAAUAAGCACCGGCUAACUCCGUGCCAGCCGCGGC
rnacentral:rRNA from 1 species